rnacentral:lncRNA from 1 species
GUUAAAGGAAGAUGUCAGAAUAUUGUUUCAUCUAGUUGACAGCAAAAGUAGUCCUAUUCCUUACUGAGGUACCGGAAAGCGCUGCUGUGGAAAUGAAUGUUGCCGCAGUUGCAUUAGUGUAACCUCACUAAUGGAAACGAGGAAGAAGAGAGGGUGAGGAGAUCUGAAGUAGCAACAUGAAAAGCUGUAGAUGUCAAUAGACUUGUUUUUAAUCUUCGGAAAACACUUUUGGAAAAAU